GGCGAGUGAGCGGCAAAAGCUCAAAUUUGAAAUCUGCGUAAGCCGAGUUGUAAUUUGAAGAUGGCUACUUUGGUAAUGGCUCUUGUCUAUGUUCCUUGGAACAGGACGUCACAGAGGGUGAGAAUCCCGUGCGAUGAGAUGUCCAUUACCGUGUAAAGUGCUUUCGAAGAGUCGAGUUGUUUGGGAAUGCAGCUCUAAGUGGGUGGUAAAUUCCAUCUAAAGCUAAAUAUUGGCGAGAGACCGAUAGCGAACAAGUACAGUGAUGGAAAGAUGAAAAGAACUUUGAAAAGAGAGUGAAAAAGUACGUGAAAUUGUUGAAAGGGAAGGGCUUGAGAUCAGACUUGGUAUUUUGUAUGGCUUGCUUUCGGGCGGGUCCUCUGCAGUUUACUGGGCCAGCAUCGGUUUGGGUGGCAGGAUAAUAGCAUUGGAAUGUGGCUCUACUUCGGUGGAGUGUUAUAGCCUUUGUUGAUACUGCCUGCCUAGACCGAGGACUGCGUCUUUUGACUAGGAUGCUGGCAUAAUGAUCCUAAGCCGC
rnacentral:rRNA from 1 species